UACAGAGGGGGCAAGCGUUGUUCGGAAUUACUGGGCGUAAAGAGCGUGUAGGCGGCCAGAUAAGUCCGCUGUGAAAUCUCGAGGCUCAACUUCGAGCUGUCGGUGGAAACUGUCUGGCUAGAGUCCGGAAGAGGAGAAUGGAAUUCCUGGUGUAGCGGUGAAAUGCGCAGAUAUCAGGAAGAACACCCGUGGCGAAGGCGGUUCUCUGGGACGGUACUGACGCUGAGACGCGAAAGCGUGGGGAGCGAACAGG
rnacentral:rRNA from 1 species